CGCGUGCCAGAGGAGGCCAGCUGGUCUCAUCACUGCUCGUCUGGGAGAACGUACUCAGCUUGGACCUUCGGGUGACCAUGCUGAAGGAGAGCCCAGAGCAUCAUGAUAAAGCAACUGAGCAGCUGCUGAGGAGGUUCGGGAGAGGUGGCUCCGUAGGGGCUCCUGUGGUUUGCUCCCAGAAACUGCGACAAUGACACAUUCAUCAGGUAUUGUCCCAUCGUGACAUGGAAAUAAAACCUUUUGCAUAGAUUGGUAGAUA
rnacentral:lncRNA from 1 species